GACGUAGGGCGCGAGCGUUGUCCGGAUUUAUUGGGCGUAAAGAGCUCGUAGGCGGCUUGUUGCGUCGACUGUGAAAACCCGCGGCUUAACCGCGGGCCUGCAGUUGAUACGGGCAGGCUAGAGUUCGGUAGGGGAGACUGGAAUUCCUGGUGUAGCGGUGAAAUGUGUAGAUAUCGGGAGGAACACCAGUGGCGAAGGCGACUACCUGGCCUGUUCUUGACGCUGAGGCGCGAAAGCUAGGGGAGCAAACGGG
rnacentral:rRNA from 1 species